rnacentral:rRNA from 1 species
CAGUAGCCGCGGGAAUACAGAGGGUGCGAGCGUUAAUCGGAUUUACUGGGCGUAAAGCGUGCGUAGGCGGCUUCUUAAGUCGGAUGUGAAAUCCCUGAGCUUAACUUAGGAAUUGCAUUCGAUACUGGGAAGCUAGAGUAUGGGAGAGGAUGGUAGAAUUCCAGGUGUAGCGGUGAAAUGCGUAGAGAUCUGGAGGAAUACCGAUGGCGAAGGCAGCCAUCUGGCCUAAUACUGACGCUCAUGCACGAAAGCGUGGGGAGCAAACAGGAUUAGAUACCCCGGUAGUCCCUGUCUCUUAUAC